AGGGUCAUAGCAUCAGAUUUUCAGUAGUCUCCAUACCUCUCAUAAGCUCUCCAUGCCUCUCUCUCUUCUCCCUUUUAGUUCCGACGCCCAAGGUGCUUGGGCGUCCACCAUCUCCAAUGCCUAAAAGUGCUUGGACGGCCACCUUUUCUUGCUGAUUUUUAAAGCUUCGUUGCUGCUAAAUCAAGUGAAGGAGAUCAAGAAAAGAAGAGAAGAGAAAGAUCAAGAAAAGGA
rnacentral:lncRNA from 1 species